rnacentral:rRNA from 1 species
UACGUGGGUGGCAAGCGUUAUCCGGAUUUAUUGGGCGUAAAGAGAACGCAGGCGGUCUUUUAAGUCUGAUGUGAAAGCCUUCGGCUUAACCGGAGUAGUGCAUUGGAAACUGGGAGACUUGAGUGCAGAAGAGGAGAGUGGAACUCCAUGUGUAGCGGUGAAAUGCGUAGAUAUAUGGAAGAACGCCAGUGGCGAAAGCGGCUCUCUGGUCUGUAACUGACGCUGAGGUUCGAAAGCGUGGGUAGCAAACAGG